rnacentral:piRNA from 1 species
CUUAGGAAAAUAUUGUCACUGAGG